rnacentral:lncRNA from 1 species
GCAGGAACAGCCGAGGCAAAGCCAUGCAGGAGGCAGAAGGCUCUGUGUGGAUCAUAGCCCAGACCUUGACUCUCCAAAGUCUUCAGGAAACAACUGUUACCAUGGGAGGCCUUAGGUUGCUUGUAGCUGACCUGAGGCAUCACCCCCAGGAACAAGUGCAGUGGACUUGGUCCUACAAGCAGAGCAGACCAGACCAGAGGCACAAAGCUGGAAACCCCACUUUCC